UGGGGAAUUUUGGACAAUGGGCGCAAGCCUGAUCCAGCCAUGCCGCGUGCGGGAAGAAGGCCUUCGGGUUGUAAACCGCUUUUGUCAGGGAAGAAAUCUUCUGAGUUAAUACCUCGGGAGGAUGACGGUACCUGAAGAAUAAGCACCGGCUAACUACGUGCCAGCAGCCGCGGUAAUACGUAGGGUGCAAGCGUUAAUCGGAAUUACUGGGCGUAAAGCGUGCGCAGGCGGUUUUGUAAGACAGAGGUGAAAUCCCCGGGCUCAACCUGGGAACUGCCUUUGUGACUGCAAGGCUUGAGUGCGGCAGAGGGGGAUGGAAUUCCGCGUGUAGCAGUGAAAUGCGUAGAUAUGCGGAGGAACGCCGAUGGCGAAGGCAAUCCCCUGGGCCUGCACUGACGCUCAUGCACGAAAGCGUGGGGAGCAAACAGGAUUAGACACCCUGGUAGUCCACGCCCUAAACGAUGUCAACUGGUUGUUGGGAAGGUUCCUUCUCAGUAACGUAGCUAACGCGUGAAGUUUGGACCGCCUGGGGAGUACGGCCGCAAGGUUGAAACUUAAAGGAAUUG
rnacentral:rRNA from 1 species